ACAUUCUUUCAUCAUAGCGUUCAUGCAAUGGAUCCCAUUAAAACUCUAAAGUUAAUCAUGCUUGGGAUAGAGUAGUACUAGGAUGGGUGACUGCCCAAGAAGUCCUAGUAUUUC
rnacentral:rRNA from 1 species